CGACCGGCGCACGGGUGCGUAACGCGUAUACAAUCUACCUCUUACUGAGGGAUAGCCCAUGGAAACGUGGAUUAAUACCUCAUGGUAUUAUUGAAUGGCAUCAUUUAAUAAUUAAAGGUUACGGUAAGAGAUGAGUAUGCGUCCUAUUAGUUAGUUGGUAAGGUAACGGCUUACCAAGGCAGCGAUAGGUAGGGGUCCUGAGAGGGAGAUCCCCCACACUGGUGCUGAGACACGGACCAG
rnacentral:rRNA from 1 species